rnacentral:rRNA from 2 species
CGGCAAAAGCUCAAAUUUGAAAUCUGGUCCCCUUUGGGGGCCCGAGUUGUAAUUUGAAGAGGAUGAUUUUGGCGAGGCGCCUUCCGAGUGCCCUGGAACGGGACGCCACAGAGGGUGAGAGCCCCGUAUGGUCGGACGCCGAGCCUAUGUAAAUCUCCUUCUACGAGUCGAGUAGUUUGGGAAUGCUGCUCAAAAUGGGAGGUAAACCCCUUCUAAAGCUAAAUACCGGCCAGAGACCGAUAGCGCACAAGUAGAGUGAUCGAAAGAUGAAAAGCACUUUGAAAAGAGAGUUAAACAGCACGUGAAAUUGUUGAAAGGGAAGCGCUUGCGACCAGACUUGCGCCCGUCGGAUCAACCGUCCCUCGUGGGCGGCGCACUCCGGCGGGCUCAGGCCAGCAUCAGUUUUCCGGGGGGGAGAAAGGCGGUUGGAACGUAGCUCUUCGGAGUGUUAUAGACUUCCGCGUAAUACCCCCUGGGGGACUGAGGACCGCGC